GACGAACCACACAAACGUUAUUCGGAAUUACUGGGCUUAAAGGGUGCGUAGGCGGCGUGGAAAGUUGGGUGUGAAAUCCCUCAGCUUAACUGAGGAACAGCGCCCAAAACUACCAUGCUCGAGGGAGAUAGAGGAAUGCGGAACUUAGGGUGGAGCGGUGAAAUGCGUUGAUAUCCUAGGGAACACCGGUGGCGAAGCGGCAUUCUGGAUCUCUUCUGACGCUGAGGCACGAAAGCUAGGGUAGCAACGGG
rnacentral:rRNA from 1 species